rnacentral:rRNA from 1 species
UACGAAGGGGGCUAGCGUUGUUCGGAGUUACUGGGCGUAAAGGGCGCGUAGGCGGCUCACCAAGUCAGGCGUGAAAGCCCUGGGCUCAACCCGGGAAUUGCGCUUGAGACUGGUGUGCUCGAGUACGGGAGAGGAUAGUGGAAUUCCCAGUGUAGAGGUGAAAUUCGUAGAUAUUGGGAAGAACACCGGUGGCGAAGGCGGCUAUCUGGACCGUAACUGACGCUGAGGCGCGAAAGCGUGGGGAGCAAACAGG